rnacentral:lncRNA from 1 species
UUUAUAUUUACCGAUAAAUAAUUUUUGUAGCUUAAAAGCUAAAUAAAUUCAUACAUACUGUAAUACAGAUAACCAAAGUAUAAAAUUUAAUUUACAGUGACACGUGGGCCCACGAAUGACCAAAAGUAUCAAAAGCGGUAAACCUACAGUUUUUGAGGAUGCUAAUCCAACUGUAGCGCUCAACAAAGUGAGCUAUCUAUCAACUAUCUUGAGUCUGAAAUGGGUGGAAAGGAGGGUGGUGAGAUUAUAUAAUCCAAGUGAGUAAACAAAUACCAUCUAAAAUAUCUAAAGCUGAGUAAAUGGAGACAGAUAAAAUAGUUUAACAUACUGUAAUUCAUCAACUUCCAACUCAUUUCAACCAAAUAAAAUCAAUUCAUAUAAAUCGAGUAAUCAACAUGGCUUAUGAAUUUCUUAAAACCUUGGCUCGUGCCAAAAUCAUUCUCAUACUCAGUUAUUAGGGAUACCUUGGCCGAGGGCUAUCCCAACCGAGUCCGCCAAGACUGUUAAAAAGUCAUGUACGCAUAAAUCAUGUUUUUAUUUUGAAAACAUAGCCGUUCCUAAGCGUUGGCUGAGUUCUCCCUCACGUGGUGGUUUGGCGUGAAGUGAACUCUAAAAGUGUACCUCAGGAGUUACCCUACACGCCUCUCCAAUCGAGGUAAGAAUAUAACAAGGUUACCGUGCCCCUCUAAUAAGCUGGUCCACGGAACCCACCCACUGCAGCUAUCUAAACCCACCAAUUCAAUAAAAUCUCAACCGCAUGACAUGGCAAUUAUAUCACAAUCCAGCCUCUCAAGGCUAAAUACACAGUUCAUAUAUUUUCAGCACAUUUACCAAUUCAGCCAUUCAUGCAAAUAUUGUCAUAAGCCAUUCGAUUCGAACCAUGAAUUUACAACACAUGAAAACAGUCUAUAAUUACUCUAUUUUCAAAACCAUCAUUCAAUCUCAAGACAAUUUUAUAAAAUCAUUUUCAUUUAAUCUCAUUUUGCUUGUAAAAUACAAAGAUUUACCAUUUAAACUCAUUUUCCAUAAAAUUACAAAAUCGGAUAAAACCACUUUAGAUAAUUAAUAUGAUAGUAAGGUUACUCACUAUUUCGGGAGUCGAAUUCCGAGUACUCCGAUUCUUGAUCCUCGGGUACUAUCUCUUUACUUUUGCCAGAAUGCUCACUACCUAGACAUAAUGCACAAUAAGCCAUUUACUACAUUUGUGCUAAAUUAUUAUAAAACCAAUUCAGGCUCUAUACUAAUGCAUGAAAUGGGAUAUGAAAUACUCGGGUAACUAUCUAAAUACGGUGUUCAAUAUAAAUUCAAUUAUGUACCUAAAUAAAAUGGUAUUGGCCUAAUUUGAUUUAUCACCCGAUUAAUUGGCCAAUACGUCCAAUUCAACUCCAAAUAAUUCCAUUUUUCUUCCAAUACUCCAAAUCAUCAAACACAAAUUAAAUAACUUGAAAUAUGGCAAAAUUAUCCUCACAUUUUCUCUUGGAAAAUUCGACCAUGGUGGGUGCAUCAAUACUAUAAUUUUUCCUACUUAAUUCUCACACCAUAAAUCACUAAUUCCUAACCAAAUCACUUGAAAUAAAAUCAAAAUCAUCCUCAAUAUUCCACAUGGAGAAUUCGGCUAAUGAUGGGUGAUGGAAGAACAUGAAUUUUUCUUGCUUGAUUUUCAUGCUACACAUCACCAAUCAACUAAAAACACUAAAAUACAUUGAAAUCUAACCAAAUCAAGCAUCAAAACCUCUCUCUAAGUGUUCAGCCAGCAAGAUACCCAUCAUGAAAUCAUGUGAUUCAACCAUGGAAAAUGCAAAAGAAUGUAUGGGAAAGGUAGAUCACAAGUCAAAAUCAAGAAAUUUUACCUUUGAUUGCUUGAUUACUUGAAAUUCACCAAAUUUUCUCUUGAAUUUUCACCCUAGGGUUCUUGUUCUUUCUUUUCUUCCUUUGUUCUUGCUUUGGCCGGUCAUAUGAAG